rnacentral:rRNA from 1 species
UACGUAGGGGGCGAGCGUUAUCCGGAUUUAUUGGGCGUAAAGCGUGUGUAGGCGGUUUGUUAAGUUUAAGAUUAAAGCCCGAGGCUUAACCUCGGUUCGUCUUAAAAACUGGCAGACUUGAGUGCAGUAGAGGCAAGUGGAAUUUCUAGUGUAGCGGUUAAAUGCGUAGAUAUUAGAAGGAACACCAGUGGCGAAGGCGGCUUGCUGGGCUGUUACUGACGCUGAGACACGAAAGCGUGGGGAGCAAAUA